AGUGAACGCUGGCGGUAGGCCUAACACAUGCAAGUCGAACGGCAGCACAGUAAGAGCUUGCUCUUACGGGUGGCGAGUGGCGGACGGGUGAGGAAUACAUCGGAAUCUACUUUUUCGUGGGGGAUAACGUAGGGAAACUUACGCUAAUACCGCAUACGACCUACGGGUGAAAGCAGGGGAUCUUCGGACCUUGCGCGAUUGAAUGAGCCGAUGUCGGAUUAGCUAGUUGGCGGGGUAAAGGCCCACCAAGGCGACGAUCCGUAGCUGGUCUGAGAGGAUGAUCAGCCACACUGGAUCUGGGUCACGGCCCAGACUCCUACGGGAGGCAGCAGUGGGCAAUAUUGGACAAUGGGCGCAAGCCUGAUCCAGCCAUACCGAGUGGGUGGAGAAGGCCUUCGGGUUGUAAAGCCCUUUUGUUGGGAAAGAAAAGCAGCAGCUUAAUACCCCGCUGUUCUGACGGUACCCAAAGAAUAAGCACCGGCUAACUUCGUG
rnacentral:rRNA from 1 species